rnacentral:rRNA from 1 species
UACGUAGGGUGCAGGCGUUUAAUCGGAAUUACUGGGCGUAAAGCGUGCGCAGGCGGUUUGCUAAGACAGGUGUGAAAUCCCCGGGCUUAACCUGGGAACUGCGCUUGUAACUGGCAAGCUAGAGUGUGGCAGAGGGGGGGUGGAAUUCCACGUGUAGCAGUGAAAUGCGUAGAGAUGUGGAGGAACACCGAUGGCGAAGGCAGCCCCCUGGGCUAACACUGACGCUCAUGCACGAAAGCGUGGG